rnacentral:rRNA from 1 species
AACGCGUAUCCAACCUGCCCUUUACGCGGGGAUAGCCUUCUGAAAGGAAGUUUAAUACCCGAUGAAUUCGUUUAGUCGCAUGGCUUGAUGAAGAAAGAUUUAUCAGUAAAGGAUGGGGAUGCGUCCCAUUAGCUUGUUGGCGGGGUAACGGCCCACCAAGGCGACGAUGGGUAGGGGUUCUGAGAGGAAGGUCCCCCACAUUGGAACUGAGACACGGUCCAAACUCCUACGGGGAGGCAGCAGUGAGGAAUAUUGGUCAAUGGGCGCGAGCCUGAACCAGCCAAGUAGCGUGGAGGACGACGGCCCUACGGGUUGUAAACUCCUUUUAUAAGGGGGAUAAAGUUGGCCAUGGAUGGCCAUUUGCAGGUACCUUAUGAAUAAGCAUCGGCUAAUUCCGUGCCAGCAGCCGCGGUAAUACGGAAGAUGCGAGCGUUAUCCGGAUUUAUUGGGUUUAAAGGGAGCGUAGGCGGGCAGUCAAGUCAGCGGUCAAAAUGGCGCGGCUCAACCGCGUUCCGCCGUUGAAACUGGCAGCCUUGAGUAUGCACAGGGUAC